rnacentral:rRNA from 1 species
CCGCGCGCGCGGCGGGCUACGGGAGGCAGCAGUGGGGAAUAUUGCACAAUGGGCGCAAGCCUGAUGCAGCCAUGCCGCGUGUAUGAAGAAGGCCUUCGGGUUGUAAAGUACUUUCAGCGGGGAGGAAGGUGUUGUGGUUAAUAACCGCAGCAAUUGACGUUACCCGCAGAAGAAGCACCGGCUAACUCCGUGCCAGCAGCCGCGGUAAUA